rnacentral:misc_RNA from 1 species
GAUGAAGAACGUAGUGAAAUGCGAUAAGUAGUGUGAAUUGCAGAAUUCAGUGAAUCAUCGAAUCUUUGAACGCACAUUGCGCCCCUUGGUAUUCCAUGGGGCAUGCCUGUUCGAGCGUCAUUUGUACCUUCAAGCUCUGCUUGGUGUUGGGUGUUUGUCUCGCCUCUGCGUGUAGACUCGCCUCAAAACAAUUGGCAGCCGGCGUAUUGAUUUCGGAGCGCAGUACAUCUCGCGCUUUGCACUCAUAACGACGACGUCCAAAAGUACAUUUCUACACUCUUGACCUCGGAUCAGGUAGGGAUACCCGCUGAACUUAAGCAUAUCAAUAAGCGGAGGA